rnacentral:rRNA from 1 species
UGAGGAAUAUUGGUCAAUGGCCGGAAGGCUGAACCAGCCAAGUCGCGUGAGGGAAGACGGCCCUACGGGUUGUAAACCUCUUUGUCAGGGAGCAAACCUCUCCACGCGUGGGGAGUCGAGAGUACCUGAAGAAAAAGCA